ensembl:lncRNA
GGAGGAGACAGGUUAAAGAUGAAGGGGAGGAGACAGGUUAAAGAUGAAGGGGAGAAGACCUGGUUAAAGAUGAAGGGGAGGAGACAGGUUAAAGAUGAAGGGGAGGAGACCUGGUUAAAUAUGAAGGGGAGGAGACAGGUUAAAGAUGAAGGGGAGGAGACAGGUUAAAGAUGAAGGGGAGGAGACAGGUUAAAAAUGAAGGGGAGGAGACAGGUUAAAGAUGAAGGGGAGGAGACAGGUUAAAGAUGAAGGGGAGGAGACAGGUUAAAGAUGAAGGGGAGGAGACCUGGUUAAAGAUGAAGGGGAGGAGACCUGGUUAAAUAUGAAGGGGAGGAGACAG